GAUGAACGCUGGCGGCGUGCCUAAUACAUGCAAGUCGAGCGAACACACGAGGACCUUGCCCGUCUGACGUUAGCGGCGGGCGGGUUAGUAACACGUGGAUAACCUACCUAUGAGAAAGGGAUCAAAUCGGGAAAUCAUAGCUCAUACCAGAUACUAUAUUGAACCGCAUGGUUCAAUAGUUAAAGCCGGCUUUGCUGUCACUUAUAGAUGGAUCCGCGCCGCAUUAGCUAGUUGGUAAGGUAACGGCUUACCAAGGCAACGAUGCGUAGCCGACCUGAGAGGGUGAUCAGCCACACUGGAACUGAGACACGGUCCAGACUCCUACGGGAGGCAGCAGUAGGGAAUCUUCCGCAAUGGGCGAAAGCCUGACGCAGCAACGCCGCGUGAAGGAUGAAGGUCUUCGGGUUGUAAAACGCUGUUAUUCGGAAAGAAAAAAUGUCUUAGUAACCAUGCGCGUCUUGACGGUACCGAAACAGAAAGCCCCGGCUAACUACGUG
rnacentral:rRNA from 1 species